rnacentral:rRNA from 1 species
ACUCCUACGGGAGGCAGCAGUGGGGAAUCUUGCGCAAUGGGCGAAAGCCUGACGCAGCAACGCCGCGUGGAGGAAGAAGGCCUUAGGGUUGUAAACUCCUGUCAGGGGGGAAGAAGGCACCUGGGUUAAUAGCCCAAGGGCUGACGGUACCCCCAGAGGAAGCCACGGCUAACUACGUGCCAGCAGCCGCGGUAAUACGUAGGUGGCGAGCGUUGUCCGGAAUCAUUGGGCGUAAAGCGCGCGUAGGCGGCUUGUCAGGUCUGAUGUGAAACCUUGGGGCUUAACUCCAAGCGUGCAUCGGAAACCGGCUGGCUAGAGUCUGGGAGAGGAGAGUGGAAUUCCUGGUGUAGCGGUGAAAUGCGUAGAUAUCAGGAGGAACACCAGUAGCGAAGGCGGCUCUCUGGAACAGUACUGACGCUGAGGCGCGAAAGCUAGGGGAGCAAACAGGAUUAGAUACCCUGGUAGUCCUAGCCGUAAACGAUGGACACUAGGUGUCGGGAGUGUCGACUCUCCCGGUGCCGAAGCUAACGCAUUAAGUGUCCCGCCUGGGGAGUACGGCCGCAAGGCUAAAACU